rnacentral:ncRNA from 1 species
UUCCGUUAAAAAUCAUCUUAGAUUGUUAUGGGUUAGUCGAUCCUAAGAGAUAGGGAAAUUCCGUUUGCAAGCGCCCGAUCUUGGGCCGCCUAUCGAAAUUGAAUCGGGUUAAUAUUCCCGAACCGGGACGCGGAUAUUGCCGUUCGCGGCAGAUGCGGUAACGCAAACGAACCCAAAGACGCUGGCGUGGGCCCUGGGAAGAGUUCUCUUUUCUUUUUACCGAGCUUUCGCCAGCAUACAAGCACAAUACAGCGAGUAGUCAAGUUUAAAGAGUUCGGGGGCCCUGAGAAAGGAAAAAACAGUUACUUAAUUAGAAUAAGUAGGCAAAUGUAUUUAUGUCUUUUUAGUCCAAGCCAGCGGGUCAAUGAUGCUUAUCGUUUUGGUAAAUCCUGACUAUUCCGUUCAAA